UGCAGGAUCCCGCGAACCAUCGAGUCUUUGAACGCAAGUUGCGCCCGAAGCCUUUUGGCCGAGGGCACGUCUGCCUGGGUGUCA
rnacentral:rRNA from 10 species